UGUCUCACCCUCAGCCCUCCCCCCCCCCCCCAACCAAGUCCCCCGGUCAUGUGACUCCAUUCCCAGCCCGCCCCACCCCGUCAGGGUCACGUGAUUCCAUUCCCACUCCAGCUUCCGCGGGAAGUUUGGGCGGGGACCGAGUGCACGGCUUGUCUUGCACCCGGGCCGUCGACAAUUCCUUCCCCCACAGACGCUGCCCGACCCGCUGAUCGCUGCAGACCCAGCGGACACCGUGCGGUGUGUGGGGGGGGAACGCUUUGUCGGCGCUGCCGCUGCUCUCCGGAAGGAAGAGGCUGAGGGACCGGCCGGCGAGCGCGGGCAGCAUGGCGUCCGGCGCCGCCGCGUGUGUGCGGCCGGGGCGCGCGCUGAGGCUCCGUCUCCUGGCAACCGGGCGUCCGGGGCACGCGGCCGGGCGGGGGCGCGCCGCCGACAGCGGGGCGGCCGUGCCCGCGCACCGGGAGCACUACUGCUUGCGGCUGGUCAGAAAUCGAGACUAUGAAGGUUUCCUGUCUUCUCUGCUGCUGUCCUCAGAAUUUCGCCGUUCAGUUUUUGCAUUAAGAGCCUUCAAUGUGGAGUUGGCUCAGGUGCAAGAUGUUGUAUCCCAGAAAACACUGGGUCUAAUGAGGAUACAGUUUUGGAGGCAACUAAUUGAAGAUAUUUAUAUUGAUAAUCCUCCCAACCAACCUAUUGCCAUGGAACUAUGGAAGGCAGUAAGAAAACACAAGCUGACCAAGCGAUGGUUUCUGAGAAUUAUAGAUGAAAGGGAAAAGAAUUUGAAUGAGAAAGCAUACAGAAAUAUCCAAGAACUAGAAACCUAUGCAGAGAAUGCUCAGUCAUCAUUCAUCUACCUUCUCUUGGAAGUAUUGGGUGUAAGGGAUAUCCAUGCUGAUCAUGCAGCUAGUCAUAUUGGAAAAGCUCAGGGAAUAGUGACGUGUCUACGGGCAACUCCCUAUCACAGUAUGCAACGCAAAGUUUACCUCCCAUUGGACAUUUGCCUGCUGCAUGGUGCAUCACAAGAAGAUUUUAUUCGGGGAAAUCGUGAAAAGCGUGUGAGGGAUGUGGUAUUUGAUGUUGCAAGUCAGGCUCAUGUUCACCUUGAACACGCCAGAUCCUUUUGUAAAAAUGUCCCUUUGAGGGCCUGCCCAGCAUUUUUGCAAACGGUUAUUCUUGAUGACUAUUUGAACAAAAUUCGUAAAGUGGAUUUUGAUAUAUUUCAUCCCAGUCUUCAGAAGAGGAAUAUGAUGCUUCCUUUCUACUUGUAUAUACGUUCUUGGAGGAAAAUCUAUUAAUAUUAUCAAUUUUAUAACAAAGUCUAAAUGCAGUGGCCAGUUUUUUUUGAAAAGUACAGAAUCCCCAGGAGAAGAUGCAAUCUCAAACUGACUUUCUAAUCAGAAGUGUUUACCCUAUAGAGUAAAAAAAACUGUAGAUACUGGAAAUCUGAAAUAAAAACACAUGCUGGAAACACUCAGUUCAGGCAGCAUUUGUGGAAAGAGAAAUGGAAAUAAUGUUCAAGAUUGAAGAACCUUUGUCAGAAUCUGUAGAAUGUUUGUGUUUCAGUGGUAAUACCAUUUGUUCACUGCUUACUGCAAAAUCUAGCCCUAACAUUCUGCAGUUUAUAACUGGUACGGUUUUUUUCAUACAAUCUCCAUAUGAACAUACGAAUUAGAAGCAGGAUUAAGUCAUUCAGACCCUUGAACUUUCUCUUCCAUUUAAAAGGUCAUUGCUGAUUUGAUGGCAGGGGUCAUUCACUCUUAUGAAGAAUCUAUCCAGCUGUGCCUUUUGUAUAUAAAAGAAAGUCCAGUGAAAUCUGAAAUAACAAAAUGUGAGAAAUGCUCAGCAGGUCUGUGGGAAGAGAAGCAGAAUUAACAUUUCAGGUUAGAGUUCUGAUCAAUGGUCAGUGACCUGAGAUUUUUUGUUUCUCCCACCACAGAUAUUACUUGGUGAUUGUUUUCUGUUUUGAAUCUCCACGGUAGUGCAGCUAGCAGAGCUGCUGCCUCAGAGCGCCAGAGAUCGGCUUCAGUCCUGACCUCUGCUGUCUGUGUGAAGUGACUACGUGGGUUUCCUCUGGGUGCUCUAGUUUUUUCCCACAUCCCAAACAUGUAGGUUAGUUAGGCACUGUAAAUUGCCCCUAGUGUGCAGAUAAAUAGUAGAAUCUGGGGGGAGUUGAUGGGAAUUUGUGGUAGAAUAGGUUGCAUGGAAAGUUAGUGGAGGAACUAGGAUUGCUCUGUGUUCUGGCAUGGGCUUGAAGGGCUGAAUGGCCUCUGUGUCCUAAGGGAAUAUGGAAAUGAUCCUAAUCCACGAUGUAUGUGUAUUAUUUAUACACAACGUGGAUACCUGCUGGAGCAUUACUUUUUGCUUUAGAAUAAGUUCACGUGGUUGGAAUCAAACAGGUGGGAGGAAAUUUUGAUUAAUUUCAGAGAGUUCAGAGGAAUUCCUAUUGAAUGUUGGGAAUAUGGCAGUGAGGAUGGAGCUGUCGGCCUUGCACCCGCUGCCCUCUCACCUGAGACAGGUAAAGUGAAGAGCUAUGAUAUAAAACAUUGCUCCUGCCUGCCCCGUGCGGGUCAAUAGUUGUAUGGAGGAAGGGCCAUGGUUAGAGGAGACAUGCGAGAUGCUGUCCCUGAAGGUAAUGCAGAUCUGCUCCAUCAGGGUGUAAUAUCACUGUAGCAGUGGAUGCAACGGUCGCUGACAAACCAUCCUGGAUGUUGACAAGAGACUUGUCUGCCUCCUAUUGAGAUCCAGUUGUGCAAAUUUGGAAGGAAAAGCGAAGGUGGGUUGGUUGGUUAAUUGGCUGCUGUAAGUUGCUCUUAUUGCAGGUGGAUGGCGACAGAAUCAGGGAUGGGAGCGGGUGUAUGGGAAUGGAUGGGGAUAUGAAAGGGAAAGUGGGGUUGCUAUAGAUGGAUACUUGCUGGCUGGCAGGGAUGCAGUGCACUGAAGGGCCUGUUUCUGUGCUGUAAGACUCUCAAAUGUUUCACAGAAUACCCAAGCUGAAAGAUAAGGUGUGAGCCAACAAACAGUGACAUCAAAUACAAAUUCCAAAAGCCUUGCAAUAAUAUUGUGCAUGUCACUUACUAAGGAUCUGCAAUCCCUUAAUUAGCCAUGAGGCACAUUUGAAGUUGUAAUGUAGAAAGUGCAGGAGCUAGUGUAAAAAUCUGUGUCCAAAAUAAGGUCAGACCAUAGUAAAAGAAAAAAUUGUCAUGAAAUAUAAUUAAGGUAAUGCCAAAAACACUGUUGGAAUUGGUGCUUCUGGCCCAUUUGAUUUAAAUGUUUGUGGACAGAUGGGUUUGUUAAAGGAAUGGAUGAGAGUAACCUUUGAAAGUCGUAUUCAGUGUUGAAUGAGUGCUAUGUUUAAUAUUCUUUCUGUGAUGUUCCUUUCGCAUGUGCAUCUGCCUCUUGUCUUGGCAAUACAAUGUUUUCUCCCUCCUGCUCCACCAUUGUGACAUUUUUCUAAUGCAAAGUUAUGCGGUAGGCAGUAUUUGUCUUUGUGACUGUAUUGAC